rnacentral:rRNA from 1 species
GAUGAACGCUGGCGGCGUGCCUAAUACAUGCAAGUCGAGCGAACAGACGAGGAGCUUGCUCCUCUGACGUUAGCGGCGGACGGGUGAGUAACGCGUGGAUAACCUACCUAUAAGACUGGGAUAACUUCGGGAAACCGGAGCUAAUACCGGAUAAUAUAUUGAACCGCAUGGUUCAAUAGUGAAAGACGGUUUUGCUGUCACUUAUAGAUGGAUCCGCGCCGCAUUAGCUAGUUGGUAAGGUAACGGCUUACCAAGGCAACGAUGCGUAGCCGACCUGAGAGGGUGAUCGGCCACACUGGAACUGAGACACGGUCCAGACUCCUACGGGAGGCAGCAGUAGGGAAUCUUCCGCAAAGGGCGAAAGCUUGACGGAGCAACGCCGCGUGAGUGAUGAAGGUCUUCGGAUCGUAAAACUCUGUUAUUAGGGAAGAACAAAUGUGUAAGUAACUAUGCACGUCUUGACGGUACCUAAUCAGAAAGCCACGGCUAACUACGUG